AACCCAGGGGUAUUUUCCUCUAGCGUUUCGAUCGGGAGUAACACGUUAGAGGAAAAUACCCCUGGGUU
rfam:Nematostella vectensis strain CH2 x CH6 NEMVEscaffold_8_Cont1857, whole genome shotgun sequence.